GUGCCUAACACAUGCAAGUCGAACGAGAAAGCGGGGGCAACUCCGCGAGUAAAGUGGCGACCGGGUGAGUAACACGUGACUAACCUACCCUAGAGUGGGGGAUAACCUCGGGAAACCGGGGCUAAUACCGCAUAACAUCGCGAGGGGAAGAUCCUCGCGAUCGAAGGAGCAAUCCGCUCCGGGAGGGGGUCGCGGCUGAUUAGCUAGUUGGUGAGGUAACGGCCCACCAAGGCGAAGAUCAGUAGCCGGCCUGAGAGGGCGCACGGCCACACUGGAACUGAAACACGGUCCAG
rnacentral:rRNA from 1 species